CAGUGGAGCUCUUCUCCCAGCUCCGUCCUGUCCUGGGGGAAUGGCCAGACCUCCUCAGAGACUUUGCGGCCUUCCUCCUCCCGGAGCAGGCUUUGGAGUGUGGCCUGUUUGAGGAGCAGCAGGCAUUUGAGCAGAGUCGACGCUUCCUGAGGGAGCUCGAGAUUAGUUUUGGGGAAAACCUGUCUCACAACUAGAAAAUCAUACGUGCUCUGCAGGGGGGGACCUGGCCUCAGUCCUGCCAGCAUAGAAGGAGCUUAAAGCACAGAUGUCCUCCCUCCUGAAAGGCCACACGCACUUGCAAGGGGAAUUCUGGGUAUUUUUUGACGAGCUCCGCCCACCCUCAGCCCGUCCGUGGCAGUUUGAGGAGGCUUGUUGGCCAGAGGAGGCAGGGGGAGGAAUAGACGGAGAUGAGGGUGUUGGCUUGGGGUCAGGGGGAGGGGCAAGUGGUGGUUUUGAAGAAGUGACUCUCCCUGAUUUAGAGGAAGAAGAUAUUCCACCAGUGACAGUUCGCAGUCGGAGGAGGAAGAUGGGAUCUCAUGGCAUCUACAAGGAGUGUGAUUGGCCAGAAAAGACUGCUUCAGCCUCUGUCAUGGUGCCAGACAUGAUGCCAAGCUUCGCAGACACAAGAGGAAAGGAUGCUCUCGCUGUCACGGCAACAAGGCUUCCGAUGGCGUCCCCAGGGCGAUGAAGAGCCUUGACACCUUGUACCCCACGGCAACCGGCCCCACAGCCAACCUCCACACUGAGACAGGCGGGGGGGAGGAGAGGGAGGAAGAGCAAGAGGUGGACGCUGAAGUAAAAGAUGAAGUCGACAGUGGGGCCAACAGUCCACAUCCUGAAGAGCAAGGAGCUCCUUCAUGGGAGGGUCCUGAGGAAUGCUCACUCUCCGUCCCUGAGGAGAAGGAUGACAMAAUUGAGGAUGAGGAGGAGGAUAAGGAUGGGGGAGAGAACACAGCCCCUCGCCAAAGAGGAGUAAGGGAGGAGAAKGCUCGGGGGUGUCUGAUGGCCCCCCAACAUCCUUUAGCGGGGAGAUAGAGAACCCCCUGACCCCCCCUGCAGCCUUGUCCCAACCCCUCUUCUGAUCCCCCAUGUGUGUGCCAAAAACAUCUCCCUCACUGCCAGUGGGGAGAAGGUCAUACUCUGGACAAGGUGAGAGAGACCAGCCUGAAAAUGUUUGGUCUUUGUUUUAAUGUUUUAAAACCUCUUCGGGCUAGGGGGCACUAUUUUCACAUCCGGAUGAAAAGCGUU